ensembl:lncRNA CHIAP2 chitinase, acidic pseudogene 2
AUGGCCAAGCUCACCCUUCUCACUGGCUCUGCCUACCAGCUGACAUGUUACUUCACCAACUGGGCCCAGAACCAGCCAGGCCUGGGGUGCUUCAAGCCUGAUGACAUCGACCCCUGCCUCUGUACCCACUUGAUCUACGCCUUUGCUGGAAUGCAGAACAACGAGAUCACCACCAUCGAAUGGGAUGACAUGACUCUCUACCAAGCUUUCAAUGGCCUGAAAAACAAGUAAAUGACGGAAAACCUGAGUUUCAAAUCUUUUAACCUUUAAGGACAGUUUAAACAAGAUCUUCCACAGCAGACUUCAGGCUGAAAUUCCAAACAGGCCAACAAGCAGAAAUAGUCAACUGAAAACUCUCUUGGCUAUUGGUGGCUGGAACUUUGGCACUGCUCCUUUCACUGCCAUGGUUUCCACUCCUGAGAACCACCAGACUUUCAUCAACUCAGUCAUCAAAUUCCUGCGCCAGUAUGAGUUUGACGGGCUGGACUUUGACUGGGAGUACCCCGGCUCUCGUGUGAGCCCUCCUCAGGACAAGCAUCUCUUCACUGUCCUGGUGCAGGAAAUGCGUGAAGCUUUUGAGCAGGAGGCCAAGCACAUUAAUAAGCCCAGGCUGAUGGUCACUGCUGCAGUAGCUGCUGGCAUCUCCAACAUCCAGUCUGGCUAUGAGAUCCCCCAACUGUCACAGUACCCGGACUACAUCCAUGUCAUGACCUAUGACCUCCAUGGCUCCUGGGAGGGCUACACUGGAGAGAACAGCCCCCUCUACAAAUACCCGACUGACACCGGCAGCAACGCCUACCUCAAUGUGGAUUAUGUCAUGAACUACUGGAAGGACAACAGGGCCCCAGCUGAGAAGCUCAUGUUGGAUUCCCAGCCUAUGGACACUCCUUCCUUCUGAGCAACCCCUCCAACCAUGGAAUUGAUGCCCCUACCACUGGUCCUGGCCCUGCUGGACCCUAUACCAGGCAGUCUGGGUUCUGGG